UGUUAACCUUCCUGCGGUUACUUUACGUCAAUAGCGGAGUCAGUGACGUCUAAAACAUUGCUAUAUUCUCUCACAGUAUCGGACCUAGGCGUUCCACCAUGUUACUUGACCGAUACUGCGUUUGCCGCGGGCAUUCAACCCUUGGAGCAAAGUACUGUGACACCGCAAAAUACUCAGUACCUGGUGUACGCCCAUAAUCCGGGCGGAUUCGAUUUCAAAAGUUCCGGAGCCGUGAACGCCGAGAACACGUGCGGCGACUCCGUGUCCACCGUCAGAGAGACGCUGAUUGUGAACAUCAUCAGUACGGUACGUC